rnacentral:rRNA from 1 species
AGAGUUUGAUCCUGGCUCAGGAUGAACGCUAGCGACAGGCUUAACACAUGCAAGUCGAGGGGCAGCGAGGGAGUGGCAACACUUCUGUCGGCGACCGGCGCACGGGUGAGUAACGCGUAUGCAACCUGCCCUUCACAGGGGGAUAACCGGGAGAAAUUCCGACUAAUACCGCAUACGUCCUUUGGGGGCAUCCCCGGAGGAUGAAAGAUUUAUCGGUGAAGGAUGGGCAUGCGUGAUAUUAGGUAGUUGGCGGGGCAACGGCCCACCAAGCCCACGAUAUCUAGGGGUUCUGAGAGGAAGGUCCCCCACAUUGGUACUGAGACACGGACCAAACUCCUACGGGAGGCAGCAGUGAGGAAUAUUGGUCAAUGGACGAGAGUCUGAACCAGCCAAGUAGCGUGAAGGAUGAAGGUCCUACGGAUUGUAAACUUCUUUUAUAAGGGAAUAAACCCUCCCACGUGUGGGAGCUUGUAUGUACCUUAUGAAUAAGCAUCGGCUAACUCCGUGCCAGCAGCCGCGGUAAUACGGAGGAUGCGAGCGUUAUCCGGAUUUAUUGGGUUUAAAGGGAGCGCAGGCUGCGAGGCAAGUCAGCGGUCAAAUGUCGGGGCUCAACCCCGGCCUGCCGUUGAAACUGUCUUGCUAGAGUUCGAGUGAGGUAUGCGGAAUGCGUUGUGUAGCGGUGAAAUGCAUAGAUAUGACGCAGAACUCCGAUUGCGAAGGCAGCAUACCAACUCGCGACUGACGCUGAGGCUCGAAAGCGUGGGUAUCGAACAGGAUUAGAUACCCUGGUAGUCCACGCAGUAAACGAUGAAUACUAACUGUUCGGAGGGCGACCUCUGAGUGGUAAAGCGAAAGCGUUAAGUAUUCCACCUGGGGAGUACGCCGGCAACGGUGAAACUCAAAGGAAUUGACGGGGGCCCG